rnacentral:misc_RNA from 1 species
GGAAUUGCCAGCUGAUGAAGAGGAAUCAUCCGAAGAAGAAGAAUCAUCUGAUUCCACCGAAUCGGAAGAUGAAGAAACCGAGGAGGAAGAAACUGAGAAAAAACCCAAGACAAAAACAGUGAAGGAAACAACUUCUGAGUGGGAACUUUUGAAUGAUGUGAAGGCUAUUUGGCUUCGCAGUCCUAAAGAGAUCUCUGAUGAAGAAUACACAAAAUUUUACCACACAAUUGCUAAGGAUUUUAGUGAUGAGAAGCCACUGGCUUGGAGUCAUUUUGUUGCCGAGGGUGAUGUUGAGUUCAAGGCCCUACUGUUUAUACCUCCAAAAGCUCCCCAUGAUCUCUAUGAAAGCUACUACAACUCUCAAAAGUCCAACUUCAAGUUGUUUGUUCGCCG